CUUCUCUGUCCUCUCUCUUUCCAUCUGCUUACAGAAGAUUUUAAGUGGGUCAUGAUUACAAAUUAAAUCGUGUGUUGAGCGACUGGAAAGGGAACAACACUUUUCAACUACGAUAUGCCAUCAAAGUAGGUCGCUGUGAACUUGCAAUUAUACUUAGUCAACACCGUGAAUGCUGUGUUCCUAUUGAGGAACUAAUUUGAACCUCUUUAACUUCGAAAAGGAUCAAAGGUAAUACAUUCUGUUGCUCACGUCAGUGGUGUUUUGCUUAAGCUUAAGCUUAAGUAAAUUUUAUAUUUUUAAACAUGUUCCACUAUUUUAUUGUUUCUUGUAAGAAUAAAGGUUCAUUAUAA